UUUCCAGAGAUGGACUGGUGCCUUCGGGAACUGUGAGACAGGUGCUGCAUGGCUGUCGUCAGCUCGUGUUGUGAAAUGUUGGGUUAAGUCCCGCAACGAGCGCAACCCUUAUCCUUUGUUGCCAGCGGUCCGGCCGGGAACUCAAAGGAGACUGCCAGUGAUAAACUGGAGGAAGGUGGGGAUGACGUCAAGUCAUCAUGGCCCUUACGACCAGGGCUACACACGUGCUACAAUGGCGCAUACAAAGAGAAGCGACCUCGCGAGAGCAAGCGGACCUCAUAAAGUGCGUCGUAGUCCGGAUUGGAGUCUGCAACUCGACUCCAUGAAGUCGGAAUCGCUAGUAAUCGUGGAUCAGAAUGCCACGGUGAAUACGUUCCCGGGCCUUGUACACACCGCCCGUCACACCAUGGGAGUGGGUUGCAAAAGAAGUAGGUAGCUUAACCUUCGGGAGGGCGCUUACCACUUUGUGAUUCAUGACUGGGGUGAAGUCGUAACAAGGUAACCGUAGGGGAACCUGCGGUUGGAUCACCUCCUUACCUUAAAGAA
rnacentral:rRNA from 1 species